UACGGAGGGGACUAGCGUUGUUCGGAAUUACUGGGCGUAAAGCGCACGUAGGCGGAUUUGUAAGUCAGGGGUGAAAUCCCGGGGCUCAACCCCGGAACUGCAUCCGAUACUGCCGUGCUAGAGGAUUGGAGAGGUAGCUGGAAUUCUUGGUGUAGCAGUGAAAUGCGUGGAGAUCAAGAGGAACACUCGUGGCGAAAGCGAGCUACUGGACAAUAUCUGACGCUGAGGCUCGAAAGCUAGGGGAGCAAACGGG
rnacentral:rRNA from 1 species